AACGCUAGCUACAGGCUUAACACAUGCAAGUCGAGGGGCAGCAUGGUCUUAGCUUGCUAAGGCUGAUGGCGACCGGCGCACGGGUGAGUAACACGUAUCCAACCUGCCGUCUACUCUUGGCCAGCCUUCUGAAAGGAAGAUUAAUCCAGGAUGGGAUCAUGAGUUCACAUGUCCGCAUGAUUAAAGGUAUUUUCCGGUAGACGAUGGGGAUGCGUUCCAUUGGAUAGUAGGCGGGGUAACGGCCCACCUAGUCAACGAUGGAUAGGGGUUCUGAGAGGAAGGUCCCCCACAUUGGAACUGAGACACGGUCCAAACUCCUACGGGAGGCAGCAGUGAGGAAUAUUGGUCAAUGGGCGAUGGCCUGAACCAGCCAAGUAGCGUGAAGGAUGACUGCCCUAUGGGUUGUAAACUUCUUUUAUAAAGGAAUAAAGUCGGGUAUGCAUACCCGUUUGCAUGUACUUUAUGAAUAAGGAUCGGCUAACUCCGUGCCAGCAGCCGCGGUAAUACGGAGGAUCCGAGCGUUAUCCGGAUUUAUUGGGUUUAAAGGGAGCGUAGAUGGAUGUUUAAGUCAGUUGUGAAAGUUUGCGGCUCAACCGUAAAAUUGCAGUUGAUACUGGAUGUCUUGAGUGCAGUUGAGGCAGGCGGAAUUCGUGGUGUAGCGGUGAAAUGCUUAGAUAUCACGAAGAACUCCGAUUG
rnacentral:rRNA from 1 species